UCCUUGUUCGUAUAACGGCUAGUAUGACCGCUUGUCACGCGGUAGAUCAGAGUUCGAUUCUCUGACAGGGAG
rfam:Cryptococcus dejecticola CBS 10117 unplaced genomic scaffold supercont1.4, whole genome shotgun sequence.